rnacentral:rRNA from 1 species
UACGGAGGGAGCUAGCGUUGUUCGGAAUUACUGGGCGUAAAGCGAGUGUAGGCGGUUUGGUAAGUCGGAUGUGAAAGCCCUGGGCUCAACCCAGGAAGUGCAUUCGAUACUGUCAAGCUAGAGUAUCGGAGAGGUUGGUGGAAUUCUCGGUGUAGAGGUGAAAUUCGUAGAUAUCGAGAGGAACACCGGUGGCGAAGGCGGCCAACUGGACGAAUACUGACGCUGAGACUCGAAAGCGUGGGGAGCAAACAGG